CCCAGCGUGCAAAGCGGAGCAAACGGCGGUGGAUCAUCCAGAACUCCUGGGGAACUGGCUGGGGCGAAAAGGGGUAUUUCCAUGUGGACCGUGGAACCAACACCGGCUGCAUUGCCAUGUACACAGCAACGGCGACCGUCAGGAAUUCGGGGGGAAAGAAGCCCGUUCGCUGCCCUCCUUAAGUGGCGCGGGGGGGGGUGUGAGAGAGACAGACAGACAGACACAUGAGAAAGAGCAACGGAAUGGACAGCCAACGCACCUCAUUAGGCUUGUUAAUGCGGGCUUUUCUACGUUUCUUCUAAUGCAGAGGAGCAGAGUCUCUGCUCCAGAGGCCAAAUCCAGCCAGCCUAGAGUCCAAAACUAGAAUCCGCCCACCCAGGGGUCAAAUCCGGCUCCACAGCUUCCCUAGCGACCCCCGCUCUCCCAUUCUAAAAAGUCAAAAUGCCUUUCCCAAGGCUGAGUUUCUGGCAGGAGGAUAUAUUGGCUUAUGCGCAUGCACACAAUGCCGAAUCUUCUGUAUAGCGUGAAGCUUGAUAUAAAUUUGAUUAAAACAUUGAGA